GUACACUCCUACGGGAGGCAGCAGUGGGGAAUUUUGGACAAUGGGCGAAAGCCUGAUCCAGCAAUGCCGCGUGAGUGAAGAAGGCCUUCGGGUUGUAAAGCUCUUUUGUCAGGGAAGAAACGGUGAAAGCUAAUAUCUUUUGCUAAUGACGGUACCUGAAGAAUAAGCACCGGCUAACUACGUGCCAGCAGCCGCGGUAAUACGUAGGGUGCAAGCGUUAAUCGGAAUUACUGGGCGUAAAGCGUGCGCAGGCGGUUUUGUAAGUCUGAUGUGAAAUCCCCGGGCUCAACCUGGGAAUUGCAUUGGAGACUGCAAGGCUAGAAUCUGGCAGAGGGGGGUAGAAUUCCACGUGUAGUAGUGAAAUGCGUAGAUAUGUGGAGGAACACCGAUGGCGAAGGCAGCCCCCUGGGUCAAGAUUGACGCUCAUGCACGAAAGCGUGGGGAGCAAACAGGAUUAGAAACCCCAGUAGUCCCAUG
rnacentral:rRNA from 1 species